rnacentral:lncRNA from 1 species
CAGGAGACUUCUGGGGUGGCGCCAUCGGCAAUGGCGGACUCCCUCUGAACUGGAGGGACCAGCUCCGCAUGAAACGGGUCUUUUCCGCUACGGCGAAGCGGGAACCCUUCUGGAAAUCACAGGCGGAUGAAGCCUGUGACCGUGGGACUCGGCGGGCACCCUUAGCGCCCCCCCAACCCGCAAAGGAACCCACUAACGGGCUCCGAAGCGAAGGGGGGAAGUGGCGCGGUGCUGUGAGUCAAUUGCUUUUUCUGCGGAGCGAAGCCGCAUAGCCGUUGCCGGAGAGCGCUGCCUUUUUCCUGGGACAAUUUGGCAUCUAAAAUAACCACCCGUGAGUACUGGAACAUUGAACAUUUGGACUUUAAAUAAGAACUGGCGAAAUAGAAAGGAAUUUGGACUUAAAAAUUUACCUUAAUUUGGUACUGAAACGGGAAGGUCUAAACAGGAAGUCAGCCUUCCGUUUCCUUGUAGCCAGAAUAAAGCAAAGACAACGUAAACUAGAGCUUUAAAAAUCACUUUCAAAGGAUUGGCUUUCAUCAUUUAAAAUCGCUGAACCCCCCUUCGGCAGCAGGAGAAGAAGGGGGAUCUUUUUUGGGCUGUUUAAACCUGCAGAAGUGAGUUUAAAGCAAAGUAAUUUUCCACCGUCCUGAUCCUGGAGCGGGGUGUCAGAAUUGACGUUUGAAGCUCAUUGACC